rnacentral:lncRNA from 1 species
GGGGUGCUGACUUGAACCCUGGCAACAGAUGUCCAAAAUCAACAUGAGAAACUACGUUUGAGGUGGAAAUGAAGAUUACAUGGAUUAAUGUUUCUAAAUUAAAUAAUAAUACAGUGAUAAAUCAAGUUCAUCGGUACUGGUGCAGCCUAUAAAGUCCGCCACUAAACAAGUUCAAAAACAUUCAUUUCAUAAAGAAUGUUUUGGAACUUGUUACCGCCAACCAGUACCAUACAUUGAGAGUCGAUAUAACAGAUAACUCUGAUUGUAAUAUUGUGUAAUAACAAGAAUCUGACCGCAGUAACUACUAGCUAACAGAUUCCCGAAGCCAAUGACCUACUUCGCCGUUUGAUGGUAAAUAAAUGGAUGCAAAUUGAUAAUAGCAUAACUGGAUAAUAAAUAGAUAAAAAUAGAUACAGC